rnacentral:rRNA from 1 species
CCUACGGGAGGCAGCAGUGAGGAAUAUUGGUCAAUGGGCUUACGCCUGAACCAGCCAAGUCGCGUGAGGGAAGACUGCCCUAUGGGUUGUAAACCUCUUUUGUCAGGGAGCAACGCCGGCCACGUGUAGCCGGAACGAGCGUACCUGAAGAAAAAGCUUCGGCUAACUCGGUGCCAGCAGCCGCGGUAAUACGUAGGAUGCGAGCGUUAUCCGGUUUUAUGGGGUUUAAAGGGUGCGUAGGCGGAAUGCCAAGUCAGCGGUAAACUCGCGGGGCUAACCCUCGCUCCGCCGUUGAAACUGGCGUUCUUGAGUGGGCGAGAGGUAUGCGGAAUGCGUGGUGUAGCGGUGAAAUGCAUAGAUAUCACGCAGAACUCCGAUUGCGAAGGCAGCAUACCGGCGCCCAACUGACGCUGAAGCACGAAAGCGUGGGUAUCGAACAGGAUUAGAUACCCGAGUAGUC